rnacentral:rRNA from 1 species
AAACUUAAAGGAAUUGACGGGGCCGCACAAGCGGUGGAGCAUGUGGUUUAAUUCGACGCAACGCGAAGAACCUUACCAGGGCUUGACAUCCCCUGACCGCGUAUGAAAGUACGUUUUCACCCUCGGGUGACAGGGAGACAGGUGGUGCAUGGUUGUCGUCAGCUCGUGUCGUGAGAUGUUGGGUUAAGUCCCGCAACGAGCGCAACCCCUACGUUUAGUUGCUAACGCGUGAAGGCGAGCACUCUAGACGAACUGCCGUUGACAAAACGGAGGAAGGUGGGGAUGACGUCAAAUCAUCAUGCCCCUUAUGUUCUGGGCUACACACGUGCUACAAUGGCCGGUACAGACGGACGCAAAGCCGCGAGGUGGAGCAAAUCCUAAAAAGCCGGUCUCAGUUCGGAUUGCAGGCUGCAAUUCGCCUGCAUGAAGUCGGAAUCGCUAGUAAUCGCAGGUCAGCAUACUGCGGUCGAAUACGUUCCCGGGCCUU